rnacentral:rRNA from 1 species
UUAGACCGUCGUGAGACAGGUUAGUUUUACCCUACUGAUGAGAUUGUCGUCGCGACAGUAAUCCAACUUAGUACGAGAGGAACAGUUGGUUCAGAUAUUUGGUUAAUACGGUUGUCUGAACAGGCAGUGCCGUGAAGACUAGAAUCUGUACAAAGUAUGGCUGAAAGCCUCUAAGCCAGAAUUCAUGCUGAAAGGGGCGUCUCCGGGCCAAUUACCGAAAUAAAUAUUGUUCGCAACAUUUCAUACAAGCUGGUUCAUGCCUAGUCCAGAAUGUGUCUAGGCUGCUCCUGUAAUUGAAUUUUUCACAUUGGUUCGGCAUAAAUCUUAUCUAGACGACUUAGCUGGGGAGCGGGUACUGUACGUAUAAGAGCUGAUUCAUUCUGCGAUUUACUGAG